GGUCCACUUCCCCUGUAUCCUUUCUUUUCCACUACCUCUGGUGGGUGGUGGACUAAAAGGGAGUUUAAAGCAUUUAAGAACCACCUUUAAAAAUGGGUUUUGAAAACAUUAAAGUUACAAUAUCCAACUCUUAUUUAAAUUAAAAUCUUCACAUAUUUUAAUUCCUUGCUCUUUCCUUUAUGUGUCUAGUUGUGUUGUAUUGUUCAUACCGGUUUGGGAACAUUAUAUUUCCUUCACAAGUUGUGUUUUUAAAAAUGCUGAAUGUCACUCCUCAUUCUGUGUUCAUCUUGGCCAUUGACUAUUAGUCCCAUUGUGUUAUAAAACAAGCAUCUAAGUACACAACAAUCUACAUUUCUGGGCUCUCAGUUUUGUUAUGAUGGUUGAGUUGUCUGUUCUACCUAGCUGUCAAACCAUUAUACUUAUUCUUAUUUCAUAAUAAGUCUUGAUACCUUCUGACCUAGUUAGCAUUAACUGUCAACUUUACAUAGCCUAGAAUCACCUUUUUUUUUUUAAAGAGUCUUAGUUGAGUAAUUGUCUUUAAUAGGUUGGACUUUGGACUUGUCUGUAAGGGAUUGUCUUGAUUAUCUUAACUGAUGUCGGAGGGCCCAGCCCACUGUAGGCAGUACCAUUUCUGGAGCAGGUGGUCUUCAGCUAGAACAGCUGGCUGGUCCUUAGCCUGUGAGGGAUGCUGACAGUGACCCAGUAAACAGAGUUCCUUCAUAGUUUUUACUUCAAGCUCCUGCUUGGGCUUCCCUCAAGGAUGGACUAUGAUCUCAAUGAACCCUUCCUUCUCCACGUUGCUAUUGAUCAUGGUGUUUUAUCACAGCAUCAAAGAAGAAACUAGAAUGACUGAUAAGUAUAAUUUCCGUGCUUUAGUCACUACAUGAAGAAUGUAGGUAGAGGAACAAGAUUAAAAUAAGGAGAACAUUUAGUAUAUUAGGCAAUAAGCAAACGUGUGACAGUGGUAAGAUCUGGGAAUCUUCUAUUGUUCUACAAGUUUCAGAGCAUGACAGAGCAAGAAGUAAGAACUCUGGUGAUGAGAGAGAUGGCUCAGCAGUUAGAGCUCAUACAUCUCUUUCCAAAAACCAGAGUUCACUUCCCAGUCCCUUAUCAGGCAGUUCACCAUUACCUAUAACCCCAGAUCCAGAAAGGCUUGAUAUCUGUCCACAUAUGCUGAUGUGCAUAGACACACAUACACAAAGAUAAUGAAAGUAACUGUAUAUUCUAUAUAGUAGAUCACAGAACAAUGUCCCCAACACCAUUACCACCAGUUUUAUAGUUACUAAGAACAAGAAACUGGCCCCUAAACAGAAGGAUGAAUGUCAAGUUCUGUACCCUCUGAGCUGUCACCACCCCUCAUUUAGAUGCACCCAGUUGCUGAGGAAGCACAUCAUCACCUCUCCAGCCUCCACAUCUUAUCAGCCUCUCCAGCCUCCACAUCACAUCAGCCUCUCCAGCCUUCACAUCUCAUCAACCUCUCCAGCCUCCACAUCUCAUCAACCUCUCCAGCCUCCGCAUCACAUCAGCCUUUCAGUGGCUUUACCUCUUCUGUGAUGGCCAUGCCUGCUGCAUUGACUUGUGUCCACGUGAGGGACACAAGUCACCGCUGCUCUCAUGGCACACAUUAGGGAGCCCACAUGACCCAGCAUCAAUUUCAAAUGACUUAAUAAAUUAUUUUAAAGGGUUCCUUUCCUUCCAUAAAAAUCGAAAUGAAAUUAAAGUCAUUAGCCCAGAAACUUAAACACCCAAGAUACAAUUUGCAAAACACAAGAAAAUCGAGAAGAGAGAAGACCAACGGGUGGAUACUUCAUUCCUCCUUAGAAUAGGGAACAAAAUACCCAUGGAAGGAGUUACAGAGACAAAGUUUGGAGCUAAGAGGAAAGGAUGGACUAUCCAGAGACUACUCCACCUGGGGAUCCAUCCCAUAAUCAGCCACCAAACCCAGACACUAUUGCAUAUGGCAGCAAGAUUUUGCUGAAGGGACCCUGGUAUAGCUGUCUCAUAUGAGGCUAUGCCAGUGCCUGGCAAAUACAGAAGUGGAUGCUCACAGUCAUCUGUAAGAUGGAACACGGGGCCCCCAAUGGAGAAGCUAGAGAAAGCACCUAAGGAGCUGAAGGGGUCUGCAACCAUAUAGGUGAAACAACAAUAUGAACUAACCAGGACCUCCCCCCCCCCCCCCUGAGCUCGUGUCUCUAGCAGAAGAUGGCCUAGUUGGCUAUCGCUGGGAAGAGAGGCCCCUUGGUAUUGCAAACUUUAUAUGCCCCAGUACAGGGGAAUGCCAGGGCCAAGAAGUGGCAGUUGGUGGGUAGGGGAGCAAGGCAGGGGGAGGGUACAGGGAACUUUCGGGAUAGCAUUUGAAAUGUAUAUAAAGAAAAUAUCUAAUAAUAAUUAAAAAAAAAGAAAUG
rnacentral:lncRNA from 1 species